rnacentral:rRNA from 1 species
AAUGAACGCUGGCGGCAUGCCUAACACAUGCAAGUCGAACGAAGGCUUCGGCCUUAGUGGCGCACGGGUGCGUAACGCGUGGGAAUCUGCCCUUGGGUUCGGAAUAACAGUUAGAAAUGACUGCUAAUACCGGAUGAUGUCGUAAGACCAAAGAUUUAUCGCCCAAGGAUGAGCCCGCGUAGGAUUAGCUAGUUGGUGAGGUAAAAGCUCACCAAGGCGACGAUCCUUAGCUGGCCUGAGAGGAUGAUCAGCCACACUGGGACUGAGACACGGCCCAGACUCCUACGGGAGGCAGCAGUGGGGAAUAUUGGACAAUGGGCGAAAGCCUGAUCCAGCAAUGCCGCGUGAGUGAUGAAGGCCUUAGGGUUGUAAAGCUCUUUUACCCGGGAUGAUAAUGACAGUACCGGGAGAAUAAGCUCCGGCUAACUUCGUGCCAGCCGCCGCAGUAA